UACGAAGGGGGCUAGCGUUGUUCGGAAUUACUGGGCGUAAAGCGCACGUAGGCGGAUUGUUAAGUCGGGGGUGAAAUCCUGGAGCUCAACUCCAGAACUGCCUUCGAUACUGGCGAUCUUGAGUCCGGAAGAGGUGAGUGGAACUCCUAGUGUAGAGGUGGAAUUCGUAGAUAUUAGGAAGAACACCAGUGGCGAAGGCGGCUCACUGGUCCGGUACUGACGCUGAGGUGCGAAAGCGUGGGGAGCAAACAGG
rnacentral:rRNA from 1 species